rnacentral:rRNA from 1 species
UGCGUAGACGGCAAGGCAAGUCUGAUGUGAAAACCCAGGGCUUAACCCUGGGACUGCAUUGGAAACUGUCUGGCUCGAGUGCCGGAGAGGUAAGCGGAAUUCCUAGUGUAGCGGUGAAAUGCGUAGAUAUUAGGAAGAACACCAGUGGCGAAGGCGGCUUACUGGACGGUAACUGACGUUGAGGCUCGAAAGCGUGGGGAGCAAACA